ensembl:misc_RNA Y_RNA Y RNA
AGCCAACCAGAAAUAUGUAUCAAAUUGAUCACAACCAGUAACAGAUUUCUUUGUUCUUUCUCCAUUCCCACUGCUUCACUUGACUAGCCUUAA